GUCUGUAGUGUAGCGUUAAUCACGUCGCCCUGUCACGGCGAAGAUCUGCGGGUUCGAUUCCCGUUCGAACCG
rnacentral:tRNA from 1 species